rnacentral:rRNA from 1 species
GACAGAGGGUGCAAACGUUGUUCGGAAUUACUGGGCGUAAAGCGCGUGUAGGCUGCUCAGAAAGUCGGAUGUGAAAGCCCUGGGCUUAACCUAGGAAGUGCAUUCGAAACUUCUGAGCUUGAGUUCUGGAGAGGAAGGCGGAAUUCUCGGUGUAGAGGUGAAAUUCGUAGAUAUCGAGGGGAACACCGGUGGCGAAGGCGGCCUUCUGGACAGUGACUGACGCUGAGACGCGAAAGCGUGGGGAGCAAACAGG